rnacentral:lncRNA from 1 species
ACUGCUGGCCAAAAUGGGGUGCCGGAGGCGGCGAGGGGUGUGCCGGGGUGCGUGCCGAGGGGUUUAGCUCCCCGCCGGGCGCCUGCGCGGCUCCUCUCCCCGGCAAAGCAUGGCCCAGCAGGAGACCUAUGGCAACUGGUUGGGUCCCCCACCAGCCCCCAGCAAGCGGCUGGUGAGACAAGCAGGAAUUUACUCCGUUGCUGGGAAAAUGACACCUAUGGGUGACUUCAGACCGGCAUCUCCAGACAGCUUCGAGGAUGAUUAUGAUGACGUGUCCCUGUCGGAGUCGGAUCGUGGCCACAAGCCGACAGCGACCCUUGGAGAUCUGCAGAGCCAGAGGAGCAAAGGAGGCACAGGUAGCGCCC